CUUUACUGUAGCUUUGUAUUGGACUUUGAACAGAUCUGUGUAGGAUAGGUGGGAGGCUUUGAAGUGCGGUCGCUAGAUCGCAUGGAGCCGACGUUGAAAUACCACCCUGGUGUGUUUGAGGUUCUAACCUAGGCCCGUGAUCCGGGUCGGGGACAGUGCAUGGUAGGCAGUUUGACUGGGGCGGUCUCCUCCCAAAGCGUAACGGAGGAGUUCGAAGGUACGCUAGUUACGGUCGGACAUCGUGACGAUAGUGCAAUGGCAUAAGCGUGCUUAACUGCGAGACCGACAAGUCGAGCAGAUGCGAAAGCAGGACAUAGUGAUCCGGUGGUUCUGUAUGGAAGGGCCAUCGCUCAACGGAUAAAAGGUA
rnacentral:rRNA from 1 species